UUGACAUUACUACAAACAUUAUGUUUAAAAUUGCUCAUCAAAGUUAUUAUUACUGCUUACUUCUUGUGUAACGAUUAUGCAGUUGUAAAUCAUGUUAAUUUUGUAACUUUAUAUUAGUAUUAUUCCUUUGUUCAGUUACCCU